AGAAAAAUAGAUUAAUGGUAAAUUACGGGCCUCCAAAGCUUCGAGUUGCAGGUUCGAAUCCUGCUUUUUCUG
rnacentral:tRNA from 1 species